AACAAACGCUGGCGGCGUGCCUAAUACAUGCCAGUCGAACGGGGAAAGCUUUCGGGUGAGUACUAGUGGCGCACGGGUGAGGAACGCGUGGAUAAUCUGCCUUAGAGUGGGGGAUAACUAGUCGAAAGAUUAGCUAAUACCGCAUAAGACCACGAGAGCUGCGGCUUUUGAGGUCAAAGGUUUUUCGCUCUAAGAUGAGUCCGCGUAAGAUUAGCUAGUUGGUGAGGUAACGGCUCACCAAGGCGACGAUCUUUAACUGGUCUGAGAGGAUGAUCAGUCACACUGGAACUGAGACACGGUCCAGACGCCUACGGGAGGCAGCAGUAGGGAAUAUUGCACAAUGGAGGAAACUCUGAUGCAGCGACGCCGCGUGAGUGAUGAAGGCCUUCGGGUCGUAAAGCUCUGUCGCAGGGGAAUAACACAAUGAAGGUACCCUGUAAGAAAGGAUCGGCUAACUUCGUG
rnacentral:rRNA from 1 species